rnacentral:rRNA from 1 species
UACGUAGGGUGCUAGCGUUGUCCGGAUUUAUUGGGCGUAAAGGGCUCGUAGGCGGCGUGUCGCGUCGGGAGUGAAAGUCCGGGGCUCAACUCCGGAUCUGCGGUGGGUACGGGCAGACUAGAGUGCAGUAGGGGAGACUGGAAUUCCUGGUGUAGCGGUGAAAUGCGCAGAUAUCAGGAGGAACACCGAUGGCGAAGGCAGGUCUCUGGGCUGUAACUGACGCUGAGGAGCGAAAGCGUGGGGAGCGAACAGG